UACGUAGGGUCCAAGCGUUGUCCGGAUUUAUUGGGCGUAAAGAGCUCGUAGGCGGUUCCGUAAGUCGGAUGUGAAAACUCGGGGCUCAACCCCGAGACGCCAUCCGAUACUGCGGUGACUUGAGUCUGGUAGGGGAACACGGAAUUCCUGGUGUAGCGGCGAAAUGCGCAGAUAUCAGGAGGAACACCGAUGGCGAAGGCAGUGUUCUGGGCCAGUACUGACGCUGAGGAGCGAAAGCUAGGGGAGCAAACAGG
rnacentral:rRNA from 1 species